rnacentral:rRNA from 1 species
CUGCAACCCGCCUGCAUGAAGUCGGAAUUGCUAGUAAUCGCGGAUCAGCAUGCCGCGGUGAAUACGUUCCCGGGCCUUGUACACACCGCCCGUCACACCAUGAGAGCCGGGGGACCCGAAGUCCGUAGCCUAACCGCAAGGGGGGCGCGGCCGAAGGUAAAACUGGUGAUUGGGGUGAAGUCGUAACAAGGUACC